rnacentral:lncRNA from 1 species
CCCUCGAGUCAGUAGAUAGCUUGAUAAGAGUGAAAGCAUCAUCUUCUAAAGUCAGAAUUUGGCUUUAUCUCGUCCCUUCAAUGUCCCCUAGUAGGCUAAACCGGAAAGAGAGAGCAGUCGUGUCACCUUAAAGCUCUAAGUCAAUCAGUCGGAAGGCUACUAAUAGAAAGAACAGAACGAAUGGAGUCUCACCCUCGGGCCUAUUAAAGACAGAAGCGCAUCAAAGCCCCUUCCUUCUUUUGGGAGCAAGUCUGAUUCUUUUCUAGGAAGAUAUCCUAGAACGUGCCACUGACUUAAAGG